rnacentral:rRNA from 1 species
UACGGAGGGGGCUAGCGUUGUUCGGAAUUACUGGGCGUAAAGCGCACGUAGGCGGACUGUUAAGUCGGGGGUGAAAUCCUGGGGCUCAACCUCAGAAUUGCCUCCGAUACUGGCAGUCUCGAGUGCGGGAGAGGUGAGUGGAAUUCCCAGUGUAGAGGUGAAAUUCGUAGAUAUUGGGGAAGAACACCAGUGGCGAAGGCG